rnacentral:rRNA from 1 species
UACGGAGGGGGCAAGCGUUGUUCGGAUUUAUUGGGCGUAAAGCGCGUGUAGGCGGUACGGUAAGUCGGAUGUUAAAGACCCACGGCUCACCCGGGGGAGUGCGUUCGAUACUGCCGUGCUAGAGUGCAGGAGAGGAAAGUGGAAUUCCUGGUGUAGCGGUGAAAUGCGUAGAUAUCAGGAGGAACACCGGUGGCGAAGGCGGCUUUCUGGCCUGUAACUGACGCUGAGACGCGAAAGCAUGGGGAGCGAACGGG